rnacentral:rRNA from 1 species
UACGUAGGGGGCAAGCGUUGUCCGGAAUCAUUGGGCGUAAAGAGCGCGUAGGCGGCCCAGUAAGUCCGCUCUGAAAGUCAAAGGCUCAACCUUUGAAAGCCGAUGGAUACUGUGGAGCUAGAGUACGGAAGAGGCGAGUGGAAUUCCUGGUGUAGCGGUGGAAUGCGCAGAUAUCAGGAGGAACACCAAUAGCGAAGGCAGCUCGCUGGGACGUUACUGACACUGAGGCGCGAAAGCGUGGGGAGCGAACAGG